rnacentral:rRNA from 1 species
GAACUCUAACAUAUAUGCGAGUGUUCUUGAAGGGAAACGAGUUGAAGUCAGUCGUACCGUGCGGGUAAUCAGCCUUUUAGGCAUGAUUCUGUGGAGCGUGAGGAGUUAAACGCCUUCAUGCCUGCAUAUUCGUGUACUUUUGGGUGUAC